rnacentral:rRNA from 1 species
UACGAAGGGGGCUAGCGUUGCUCGGAAUCACUGGGCGUAAAGGGUGCGUAGGCGGGUCUUUAAGUCAGGGGUGAAAUGCCGGGGCUCAACCUCGGAACUGCCUUUGAUACUGGGUGUCUGGAGUUCGGGAGAGGUGAGUGGAAUUCCGAGUGUAGAGGUGAAAUUCGUAGAUAUUCGGAGGAACACCAGAAGCGAAGGCGGCUCACUGGCCCGAUACUGACGCUGAGGCGCGAAAGCGUGGGGAGCAAACAGG